AGAGUUUGAUCCUGGCUCAGGAUGAACGCUGGCGGCGUGCCUAAUACAUGCAAGUCGAGCGAACGGACGAGAAGCUUGCUUCUCUGAUGUUAGCGGCGGACGGGUGAGUAACACGUGGAUAACCUACCUAUAAGACUGGGAUAACUUCGGGAAACCGGAGCUAAUACCGGAUAAUAUUUUGAACCGCAUGGUUCAAAAGUGAAAGACGGUCUUGCUGUCACUUAUAGAUGGAUCCGCGCUGCAUUAGCUAGUUGGUAAGGUAACGGCUUACCAAGGCAACGAUGCAUAGCCGACCUGAGAGGGUGAUCGGCCACACUGGAACUGAGACACGGUCCAGACUCCUACGGGAGGCAGCAGUAGGGAAUCUUCCGCAAUGGGCGAAAGCCUGACGGAGCAACGCCGCGUGAGUGAUGAAGGUCUUCGGAUCGUAAAACUCUGUUAUUAGGGAAGAACAUAUGUGUAAGUAACUGUGCACAUCUUGACGGUACCUAAUCAGAAAGCCACGGCUAACUACGUGCCAGCAGCCGCGGUAAUACGUAGGUGGCAAGCGUUAUCCGGAAUUAUUGGGCGUAAAGCGCGCGUAGGCGGUUUUUUAAGUCUGAUGUGAAAGCCCACGGCUCAACCGUGGAGGGUCAUUGGAAACUGGAAAACUUGAGUGCAGAAGAGGAAAGUGGAAUUCCAUGUGUAGCGGUGAAAUGCGCAGAGAUAUGGAGGAACACCAGUGGCGAAGGCGACUUUCUGGUCUGUAACUGACGCUGAUGUGCGAAAGCGUGGGGAUCAAACAGGAUUAGAUACCCUGGUAGUCCACGCCGUAAACGAUGAGUGCUAAGUGUUAGGGGGUUUCCGCCCCUUAGUGCUGCAGCUAACGCAUUAAGCACUCCGCCUGGGGAGUACGACCGCAAGGUUGAAACUCAAAGGAAUUGACGGGGACCCGCACAAGCGGUGGAGCAUGUGGUUUAAUUCGAAGCAACGCGAAGAACCUUACCAAAUCUUGACAUCCUUUGACAACUCUAGAGAUAGAGCCUUCCCCUUCGGGGGACAAAGUGACAGGUGGUGCAUGGUUGUCGUCAGCUCGUGUCGUGAGAUGUUGGGUUAAGUCCCGCAACGAGCGCAACCCUUAAGCUUAGUUGCCAUCAUUAAGUUGGGCACUCUAAGUUGACUGCCGGUGACAAACCGGAGGAAGGUGGGGAUGACGUCAAAUCAUCAUGCCCCUUAUGAUUUGGGCUACACACAUGCUACAAUGGACAAUACAAAGGGCAGCGAAACCGCGAGGUCAAGCAAAUCCCAUAAAGUUGUUCUCAGUUCGGAUUGUAGUCUGCAACUCGACUACAUGAAGCUGGAAUCGCUAGUAAUCGUAGAUCAGCAUGCUACGGUGAAUACGUUCCCGGGUCUUGUACACACCGCCCGUCACACCACGAGAGUUUGUAACACCCGAAGCCGGUGGAGUAACCUUUUAGGAGCUAGCCGUCGAAGGUGGGACAAAUGAUUGGGGUGAAGUCGUAACAAGGUAGCCGUAUCGGAAGGUGCGGCUGGAUCACCU
rnacentral:rRNA from 1 species